CUACGGGAGGCAGCAGUGGGGAAUAUUGCACAAUGGGCGCAAGCCUGAUGCAGCCAUGCCGCGUGUAUGAAGAAGGCCUUCGGGUUGUAAAGUACUUUCAGCGGGGAGGAAGGGAGUAAAGUUAAUACCUUUGCUCAUUGACGUUACCCGCAGAAGAAGCACCGGCUAACUCCGUGCCAGCAGCCGCGGUAAUACGGAGGGUGCAAGCGUUAAUCGGAAUUACUGGGCGUAAAGCGCACGCAGGCGGUUUGUUAAGUCAGAUGGGAAAUCCCCGGGCUCAACCUGGGAACUGCAUCUGAUACUGGCAAGCUUGCGUCUCGUAGAGGGGGGUAGAAUUCCAGGUGUAGCGGUGAAAUGCGUAGAGAUCUGGAGGAAUACCGGUGGCGAAGGCGGCCCCCUGGACGAAGACUGACGCUCAGGUGCGAAAGCGUGGGGAGCAAACAGGAUUAGAUACCCUCGUAGUC
rnacentral:rRNA from 1 species